CCCAAUCCUCUUAAAAGCGCCGACCCAUAAGGAAGCGGGAGGAGCGAAGACCUGGCGUGCGUGCGAGAUGAGUAUCUGACUUCCAAGACGCAGGCGCACAACACAAAUAAAUCUUCAGCAAUUAAUUACUAUGGAAAAUCCAAACGUUUUCUUUAGAAGUUUAGAUUCCAUAGCAUAAGCAACGGUUCAUACACAAUCACAAAUCUAUGGUUCUCUGCGCAACCUUUCCCAACCAACCCAAAAUUUUCAAUUUCUUCUCAAUCGAUUGCACUUAUAUUUAACAAUUCUUGAAUCGACAUUGCUGAACCUCCAAUCCUCCAUUUUUAAUCGACACAGGUAAAGUCGUGAAGACUUGAAGCUUCGGUGUAUCGUCAUUGACGAACCCCCAAUAGCAUCUUCCAGGUUUUUUCUUAUGCUUUUAUAUCUGUUAGCUUCAUAAAUCGAUUCUCAUUUUUGCUCUUAAAUCUUUAAUUGCUUUUGAAACCACCUGUUUUCUAAUACCACUGAUUGAGCCAUGUAUCUCACCACUGAUGUAGCAGUAGUUGACUAGUUGAUUCUAGUUUAAUCUUAGAGUAUAGUUAUUCUAGUUUAUAUUUGUAUUUUUUAUGCUUUAAUCGUUCUUUGCUUUUGAUUUUUAUUAUCUAUUAUUAGCUUCUGAUUUGUAUUAUUUAAACAGAAGAAAUGUAGAACUGAUUUGUAUUAUUUUUUCCACAUGCACUCCACUUUUUUGUUAAUAUGAAAAGGGCAAAGCUCAUAAAGCACACAUACCUUUUGCGGCUGUGUAGCACAUCAUUACACUCAUCAGGUAGAUGUUAAAGUGGAGGGUGAAGGAGUUAAUGUAAAACUGGAAAGAGAGAUGGUCUAUGGUUUGGCAAUGAAGAGUUGUGUUUACAAGAACUUACGGAUGAUAUUAUGGAAUUGGAUAGCACGGUUAAACAUCAAACGAUGCAGUCAUACAUUUGAAGAUCUUUACAUCAUUCUAUGUUGUUUUAUGUAAAUUUUUUUGUUUUAUUCGUGUUUUUCAAGUUUGAAUUAACUUUUUUUAGAACUUAUGGAUGGCUCUAUGCAAUUGGCUGUUUUGUUAA